rnacentral:rRNA from 1 species
UACGAAGGGGGCGAGCGUUGUUCGGAAUUACUGGGCGUAAAGGGCGCGUAGGCGGCGACCCAAGUCAGAUGUGAAAGUCCUGGGCUUAACCUGGGGACUGCAUUUGAUACUGGGUUGCUUGAAUUCGGGAGAGGAUAGCGGAAUUCCCAGUGUAGAGGUGAAAUUCGUAGAUAUUCGCAAGAACACCAGUGGCGAAGGCGGCUCACUGGCCCGAUACUGACGCUGAGGCACGAAAGCGUGGGGAGCAAACAGG